rfam:Gramella sp. LPB0144, complete genome.
UCGUUUCUAUCUUUGAGACCAUGUUUUCAAUGAAAUUAAAUAACUGGUGGUGGAAUAACUUACGUCGAAAUUCGUGAGCUAACCUGCCAUUCAAUUAUAUAAACUAUAAGGCUUGUC